GACUGUGGGUUCUUCAUGUUAAACCUCCCACUGCGCCCAAACCCUGACUCCCAACCCCUGGAAAUAACUGCCAGACACUGAAGAUGUAUUUUUGAAACGAAAGAUUUUAUUUCCUGAUCUGGUCUGAAAUUUUUAAGGUUUACAACACCCCCCCCCCCAACCUCGCAAAAAAGCCAACCCUACAAGCGACCAACCAGCUCCAAACUGUGGAGCCCAAAACACCCCCGAAAAAACCUGAUAGACACAACAGGAGAGAAUGAGAGAGGGGAAGGGAAGGGAAGGGAAGGGAAGGGAAGGGAAGGGAAGGCGCAGGAAGGCGCUGGAAAGCGCUCUCCCGGGACUGACCCGAGCCCCACAAACCCUUUAUAUACCCCCAGCCGGGGUUGGGGCUCUGCCAUGUCACAAUGGACUUUGGGCAUCACAAGGUCCCGCAUCACCGAGGGCCCUGACGCACCGUGCCUGUGUCAUAGAGGCCACCCCGGCACCCCGUGCCUGUGUCACAAAGGCCACCCCAGCACCCCUCCAACAGCCCGAGUCACCGGGAGCGGCCUGGAGCAGCCCCGGUCUUGGGGGAUUGCUGCCCCUUCUUCUGAGCCGCUCCUUCAAAUGAUCAGGAGCGGCUGGGGCCGAGUGAAGAUCACUCAAAUAUAUCUCUCUAUUGCACCACUAACUGUGAAGACCUUAACGUAGAAUAUAUUUCCAGUUUUGGGUGCUGCCCUCAGGAAUGAGGUGAAACCAACGUCUGAAACUUUGGAAGGAACAAAUGAAAGGAUUAGGCUCCUGAAAAAGGAAUGUUGAGUUCCAAAGGUCUUUAAUUCCACCUUCU